GCGCCUGUAGCUCAGCUGGAUAGAGUACCUGACUACGAAUCAGGGUGUCGGAGGUUCGAAUCCUUCCAGGCGCG
rnacentral:tRNA from 1 species